GUCCGGAUCUAGCCACAAUCUUGAUGACCUGGCUUUACCUGUAACUCUAUCACCAUGGACCUGUAUCUGUUCGUAGCUUUACUUAUAUCGUACUCCGAAGCCUUCCGUGAUGACUUCGACACCUGGAAUACCAGUUCAUACACUGUUGAAGUAUCAGCGUGGGGCGGAGGGAAUAACGAGUUCCAAGCGUACACCAACGACCCCAGUAAUAUCUACGUUACGGACGGAAACCUAUACCUCCGCC